UAAAGUAUUUGGAGUAUUUUUCAAAACAUCCUGCUGCUUGAAGAAUGACAGGUAAUCAAACUUUCUAUUGGAAGAGGUCAAAGGAUGUUCUGUCAUUCUGAAUUUGACCUUGUUUUAAAGAAUUUGGCUGGAGAUGGAUGGGUCAGUACUGGAAAAAAAAUAAGUACUUUGCAGGACAUUGACAGGACUGCUAUCAACUUUUGUCUCCAUUCCGUUUUACACAUUAUGGGACUUCCAGAUGUCUCCUUGUAUGACAAAGAAAGAAAUAAUUCUCCAGUGAGUUACACAUGAGAGGUCUGACAUCCCCUGUGAAAGAAUCCAUUUUUGUAAUUCUAUUUUCUGCUCUGGACAGCUAAUGAGGGAAGACAAGAUUGUAUUUUAGAUGAAACAGAUCGUCCAAGUUGACAGCAUAAUUUACUCUAACAAAUAGGUCUUGUCCUGCAACCCACCUUAGAAACACCAACUCUGUUUUUGUUCAGUUCAUGAAGAAAAACAACAUGUUUGUACAUGACAUUCACGUAAAAUGAGUAUAAAUAUCAUCUUAAGGAGUCAUAUAGACUGACAGCACUAGGAUGAGUAGUGAUCACUACCUGCAUUUCCUUACAUGGCACACUCUUAUGGUUUCAAGGAUGUCUUGUUAGUACAGUUUUUUCUGUCAUCAAUCACCUUUCUUACUGCCAUAUUCUCUGUCUUCCAAGCUAUAUAAGUUGUUCUCAUUACAGCUGGCCUUUAUACCUCCUGCAUAUAGUGCUUGGUUUUAUUUGUUUAAUAUUAAAUUAAGCCUUAUGUAUCUGUCAUGCCAAAUCAGCUUCAUAAUUUCUGAAAAGAUUUCUCUGUAUGAAUGGCUGCCUGAAGUGAACCUGAGAAAUGGGUAGAAUUUUAGAAGAUAUAAAAUGUCUCCCAUAUUUGAAAAAUGUGCUUAUUUACUCUGAUAUUUUAUGCCACAGAGAGAAAUACUAAUUAAAUUUUCUUUACACAUGCUGUGAUCUGUGCAGGCUAUCUAUAUUCAAAGCACUCAUAUUUUAUAUGUUUCAUUGUCAUUGCUGAGUCUGUAAAAUAUGAAUUUAGGGAAGAGGAUGAUUAUUUUUUUAAUAUAAAUUGCUGAAAUGCCUAUUGUCACUGCUUCUGGGAAAAGUGUUUGUGAAAGUAAUAAUAAACAGAAACAAAUUAUAAAGCCCAACCAAACCAAACAAACAAACAAAAAAAAAACCACCCCAAACCAACAAACAAAAUCAAACAAACAAAAAUCCAAACUUGUAUUUCUGCCAUUCUUCUACUUUUCCAUUCAUGCUAUGGUGAACAGCUAAUUCUUAAUUCUCUUCAGUAACCUCAGUGCUUGGACUACAAACCAAGCCAUGUAGGUAUUGCAAAGAAUAUAUGCAUCUCAAACACCCUAAAAUACAUCACUCAGAUAUAAUUAAGUAUCACAUUAAGGAAAUAACAUGGUAAGGAGGAUGUAAUUGUUUGACAACUAUCUCUACAUCAUACCUGCUUAUUAUUUUACAACUAAAUUAAAGUGUAAUUUAUGAAGGAGAACAAAAGAUUUUUGAUACCUACUAGGUUGCAUAAUGCUAAUGGUGUCAGAAAACUGCUUAUGUCUCUGGUAUUUGAAAUACCCAGUUUUUUCAGUGCUGAUAAUGGCUUUCAGCUUACUGUUUUGCCAGCCAGGUUUCUAUUCUCCUGUCCCCCAGUGCUGUGUCAUUAGCAGUAAGAUUAGUGCUUCCUACUGUCUUUUAGUUAACUGCAUUUGCAGAGUGGAUUUGCAAAUGUCCAAGUCACUUUAAAUAGCUUUGUUACCUCUUUGGAGUGAUAUUGAACGACAGAGAACUGAGAAUUGCUAAUAUUUGGCAGGCACAUCUUCAUGUCCCUAUGGACUUAUCAGGAAUGUAAUGGUAGAAAUUAUUGUCUUAAAAAGUCUCAUGUAGGAAAUGAUUUAAAAUGUAAUAUCCAAGUUCAUUCAAUUGAACUUCUAUGCUUCACUCUGAAUACAGUGUUUGCAGGAAAAGCUGUGAUUUGAUAGACACUGUUCUGUCAAAUGAUGUGCUCUGUAGAAGAGGAACAAGAAAGUUAUCUGCAGCUGCAGGCUGACAGACUGCAUGACAGCCCUAGCUGUCCUGGCAUUUUAGUACAGUACUGUGUGCUGACGUGGUGGAAAAGAGAACAACUGAUAAAACCCCCAUAAUAUAAAUGCUAUUGCUAUUUUAAAUAGAGUAAUUUAAUUCUAUAUAACAUAAAUAUAUUUUCUAUUUUAAAUCUAGCAAUUUAAAUCUGUAUACACUUCAGUACACUUGGGUUUAUAGGAAUUUGCUGUGUGAACAUUUAUUAUGUUCUGAGACCCCCACAGCAACAAAAGCAUUGAGGUAGAACUUUAUAUUUUCCUUAAAGGACACUGAGAGAUACCAGAAAGCUUUUCAUAUUUAAUGAUGUUAUAUUGAAGCAUAUUUUAUAUUGAAAUUAAUUUUGAAUUUGAAAAAAAGUCAGUUUUGCCAGUAGAUACAGGUUCUGAAAGUCAUUUCCUGCCUCUGCCUCAGUCUUACACACAUUGUAAUUGGAAAGUUAUCACCUCAAACUGCUCUCAUUUAUCAAGUGUCAAGGGCAUUUUAGGCUGGUAAAGGAGGCUUCACACAGUCAUCACUGAGUCUUUAGGAAAUUCUGUUGUUUCUUUUUUUUUCUUAUCACACCAAAGUUUGGCUCACAGCUGCCCUUCUGCCACCUUAGAAAAUCCCUCUCAUGGGCAACGGUCUCCCUGCCUGUCUGGGAUCUGGCAUGUUCACCUGGUCUCCAAGAAAGAUCGAGCCUCAUUCUACUUUCUUAUAGUUGUGCCUUACCCGGUGUGCAGCAGCAAGAACAUGGUAAAAUCAGUCUUUCUACUUGCCUUUUGUCAAAUAUAACAUGAAUUUAAGUCAACCGCAUUAUUAUCCUGAUCAUAGGAAGCAAGCCCAUUGAUCCUCCUAGGUGUUCCAGUUAUCACCUGCUAGCUAAGGGAAGUGGAGCCAGCAAAAAAGAAAAAGGUAAUUGGAAAGUUAAUACCACUAUUUGAGUGACUGUCACUCCUCAGCCAUGUCUUAUCCAUCCAUUAUUAGAUAAUCUGACGAAUUUCCUUUCAGGAAGCUUCUGAACUUCAUUUUGGAAUUUGACCUUAAUUUGAAAUGUGGUAGCACAAAGAGUAGUGACUCCUAACUGAAGUGCAUUCCUAAAAGUUACAAUAAAUUGAACUAGUUUUAAAGUCUCUGUACAUGCACAGUCAUAUGUUUGCUUUACCCUACAACAAAUCAGUCUUUAUAUAGAAUAUAUUCAGAAUAUUCAUUUUUGGGUUGGGCUUUAAGCAAUAGCUUCCGUAUUAUUCCCAGCAAUAGGAAACCAUGUCAGAGUACAUCUUUUGGAAGCUUUGGAUUGUCCUCAUCAAGAGACAAAGCUCAGAUAUCCCAUUUUUGCAAACCACAUUUCUUUCUGUUAUUGGAGCUCACAAUAACAAAAUAUUUAGACAUAAGGAAUUAUUUUGAGCUUGCUGCAAUGUUAUUUCACUGAAAAGCCAUGAAAUCUGUGUAAUAGUUA